rnacentral:tRNA from 1 species
GAGAGUUAAAUAAUUCACAAAUUCAGCAAGCAACUCUUGUCCCAAAUAGCACCUAUGGAAAUGGUGCAAGUG